GAUGGCUAGUCUUCUACUUCAACCAGAUUGCAAACCCACUAAGGCCUGGGAACAUAUAUGUCUGCAUAGAAUUGAAUGAGACCUUUGAGAUCAUUCUGUAUAAUCGUUUUAUUUCUACAGCUGGGGAAAUUGAAGACCAACAAGUUAAUCUACCCUUAAACAUAAAGCUUGCUUCAAAUGACCAAGAGAAGAAUUCAUAGAACUUGACCCAUUUGCCAGGUGCAGUGGCUCACGCCUGUAAUCCCAGCACUUUGGGAGGCUGAGGUGGACAGAUCGCUUGAGGUCAAGAAUUCGAGACCAGCCUGGCCAACAUGAUGAAACCCCGUCUCUACUAAUAAUAUAAGAAUUAGCCAGGCGUGGCGGUGUGCGCCUGUAAUCCCAGCUACUUGGGAGGCUGAGGGAGGUGAAUUGCUUGAACCCAGGAAGCAGAGGUUGCAGUGAGCUGAGAUCAUGCCACUGACUCCAGCCUGGGUGACAGAGUGAGACUCCAUCUCAAAAAAACAAAAAAACAAAAAAACAAAAAAACAAAAAAAAAUCCUCAACCUUUCCUUCAGAUUUUC
rnacentral:lncRNA from 1 species